AGAGUUUGAUCCUGGCUCAGAUUGAACGCUGGCGGCAGGCCUAACACAUGCAAGUCGAGCGGAUGAAGAGAGCUUGCUCUCUGAUUCAGCGGCGGACGGGUGAGUAAUGCCUAGGAAUCUGCCUGGUAGUGGGGGACAACGUUUCGAAAGGAACGCUAAUACCGCAUACGUCCUACGGGAGAAAGCAGGGGACCUUCGGGCCUUGCGCUAUCAGAUGAGCCUAGGUCGGAUUAGCUAGUUGGUGAGGUAAUGGCUCACCAAGGCGACGAUCCGUAACUGGUCUGAGAGGAUGAUCAGUCACACUGGAACUGAGACACGGUCCAGACUCCUACGGGAGGCAGCAGUGGGGAAUAUUGGACAAUGGGCGAAAGCCUGAUCCAGCCAUGCCGCGUGUGUGAAGAAGGUCUUCGGAUUGUAAAGCACUUUAAGUUGGGAGGAAGGGCAGUAACUUAAUACGUUGCUGUUUUGACGUUACCGACAGAAUAAGCACCGGCUAACUCUGUGCCAGCAGCCGCGGUAAUA
rnacentral:rRNA from 1 species